GACGAACGCUGGCGGCGUGCUUAACACAUGCAAGUCGAGCGGUAAGGCCCUUUCGGGGGUACACGAGCGGCGAACGGGUGAGUAACACGUGGGCGACCUGCCCUCAGCUCUGGGAUAAGCCUGGGAAACCGGGUCUAAUACUGGAUAUGACUCCAUGACGCAUGUUGUGGGGUGGAAAGCCUUGUGCGGCUGAGGAUGGGCCCGCGGCCUAUCAGCUUGUUGGUGGGGGAUGGCCUACCAAGGCGACGACGGGUAGCCGGCCUGAGAGGGCGACCGGCCACACUGGGACUGAGACACGGCCCAGACUCCUACGGGAGGCAGCAGUGGGGAAUCUUGCGCAAUGGGCGAAAGCCUGACGCAGCGACGCCGCGUGAGGGAUGACGGCCUGGU
rnacentral:rRNA from 1 species